UCAAAAACAUGGCCUAUUGAAAAUAGUUUUAGGUUUAGUCUGCCCUAUGAAAUUUUAAAUGGCCGCGGUAUUUUGACCGUGCUAAGGUAGCAUAAUCAUUAGUUUCUUAAUUAGAAGCUGGCAUGAAGGGCUGGAUGAAAAAAUUACUGUCUUUAUUAAAUUUUAAUAAAAAUUUAUUUUUUAGUAAAAAAGCUAAAAUAUUGAUAAAAGACGAGAAGACCCUAUAGAGUUUAAUAUGUAAUUAUUUUAAUAUUUAUUAGAAUAAAAAUUUUUAAUUUAUUAAUAUAUUUAAUUGGGGUGAUUAAAAAAUUAGAUAAACUUUUUUUAUAAAUAAAACAUUAAUUUAUGAAUUAUUGAUCCAUUAUUUAUGAUUAUAAGAUAAAAUUACCUUAGGGAUAACAGCGUAAUAUUUUCAGAGAGUUCUUAUCGAAGAAAAAGAUUGCGACCUCGAUGUUGGAUUAAAAUUAAUUCUUGGUGUAGAAGUUAAGAAUAUUAGGUCUGUUCGACCUUUAAAAUUUUACAUGAUCUGA
rnacentral:rRNA from 1 species